rnacentral:ncRNA from 1 species
AUCCGAUAAUGGCAAACUUAUCGAAAGAUAGGGACGCAAAGCCACGGGUCUACGGUCCUAUAAUAGACUAAGAUCGCCGGGUUACCGAA